rnacentral:lncRNA from 10 species
GGCUAGUUCUCUCAAAUGGCUAGAGUGUGCUGACAAUAAAUUCCAGAAUUAUCCAGUACUGUCAUCUAAGAGUUGCCUUUGAAGCCUCUAGUAUGUUUGGCAAACAUACUAGAGCAAACUAGGUGUAUGUUUCAUGCAUCUAUUCAAGUCACCCAUCUGCCAGCUGCCAGUUGCAUUAAGCUCUCCUUGCUUCCUCUUCCAGCCCCAUUUCCAGCCACUGCUCACUCCUCCAGGUUCACCACCUAGAACUAGCAAAGUGCAACCUAGAACCAAGUUACAAUGCUGCUAGCUACACGUAGGUCUCAGCAGACAGAUGACCACCUCCCAUAUCGACAGAGACCUGCAAACUAUUACAACAGACAGGUUAGUGUACUCCUUCC